rnacentral:lncRNA from 1 species
CUCCACAACAUGAAGUGCAAUUGUGUAGCAAUGUCAUGCCAAGGCCUGGUCUCCUCUGACUUUGCCAACUCCAAACUCAAUUGGAAACUUCAUCUUCAAGUGAUAGGUAGAUACCACAGCUUGAAGUAUAUUGAGUCUUGGGUGUCCGAGAAUGAUGUUGUAGGCCGAUGAUGCUCGAACCACUAGAAAAUCAAUCUAAGCACUAGAUCGCUGGGGAGAUCAUUCGGCCACUAUAGGGAGUGUAAUGACUUUAACAAGUACUUCAUCUUCGAUAAAUCUCACAAGAGGUGAGUCCAGUCGCACUAACUACUCAGGAGGAAUAUCGAUUUGGGAGAAAGCAUCAUAAAAUAGUACAUUUUUUGAACUUUCAUUAUCAAUCAGAAUGCGGCAUACAUCAUAGUUUGCAGUGUUUAAAGAUACAGCCACUGCAUUAUUCUGCGGGAGCUGAACUCUUAAAGCAUCUUCUUUAGUGAAGGUAAUGGAUUUUUUAGUUUUUCACUUCUUUACAGGUUCGACUAACUCCUCCACUCGGCGUCAGUAUCUCCCAAUUAUUGUGUUUAUUACUCUGAUGGAAAGUCGAUCGCCAAAAGGCUCUCCUUGCUGCUGUUUUGGUCGGUGAGGCAACCCCCGUCGUUCUUCCGACUGCUCCUGUCGAUGCAUGAUGAACCAAUCAAAGCGCCCAUGCUGAAUAAGCUCCUCAAUUUCAUCCAAAAGUUGAAGACAUUCUUCAAUGUCGUGGCUAUGGUUGUGGUGGUAAAGACAAUACUUAUUGGAGUUUCGACGAUCUGGAAGGGUCUGCAACUUUUCUAUCUAAGGGAUCCGAUCCCUAAUCUCCAUCAACACUUAGGCUUGGGCAGUGUUCGGCGAUGUGUAGUUUGUGAAUCUCCUAAAUGGAGACAUACAUCGCUCUCUUUUGAAAAAAUUCUUUUGUUGGCAAUUACAUGGGGG